CCUACGGGAGGCAGCAGUGAGGAAUAUUGGUCAAUGGGCGCGAGCCUGAACCAGCCAAGUAGCGUGAAGGAUGACUGCCCUACGGGUUGUAAACUUCUUUUAUAAAGGAAUAAGUUGAGGCACUUGUGCCUUUUUGUAUGUACUUUAUGAAUAAGGAUCGGCUAACUCCGUGCCGUCACCCGCGGUAAUACGGAGGAUCCGAGCGUUAUCCGGAUUUAUUGGGUUUAAAGGGAGCGUAGAUGGGUUGUUAAGUCAGUUGUGAAAGUUUGCGGCUCAACCGUAAAAUUGCAAUUGAUACUGGCAGGCUUGAGUACAGUUGAGGUAGGCGGAAUUCGUGGUGUAGCGGUGAAAUGCUUAGAUAUCACGAAGAACUCCGAUUGCGAAGGCAGCUUACUAAACUGCCACUGACAUUGAUGCUCGAAAGUGUGGGUAUCAAACAGGAUUAGAUACCCCAGUAGUC
rnacentral:rRNA from 1 species